AGUGAACGCUGGCGGUAGGCCUAACACAUGCAAGUCGAACGGCAGCACAGUAAGAGCUUGCUCUUACGGGUGGCGAGUGGCGGACGGGUGAGGAAUACAUCGGAAUCUACUUUUUCGUGGGGGAUAACGUAGGGAAACUUACGCUAAUACCGCAUACGACCUACGGGUGAAAGCAGGGGAUCUUCGGACCUUGCGCGAUUGAAUGAGCCGAUGUCGGAUUGGCUAGUUGGCGGGGUAAAGGCCCACCAAGGCGACGAUCCGUAGCUGGUCUGAGAGGAUGAUCAGCCACACUGGAACUGAGACACGGUCCAGACUCCUACGGGAGGCAGCAGUGGGGAAUAUUGGACAAAGGGCGCAAGCCUGAUCCAGCCAUACCGCGUGAGUGAAGAAGGCCUUCGGGUUGUAAAGCCCUUUUGUUGGGAAAGAAAAGCAGCAGGUUAAUACCCCGCUGUUCUGACGGUACCCAAAGAAUAAGCACCGGCUAACUUCGUG
rnacentral:rRNA from 1 species